rnacentral:rRNA from 1 species
UACGUAGGGUGCAAGCGUUGUUCGGAUUCAUUGGGCGUAAAGGGUGCGUAGGUGGCGAGGCAAGUCUGGUGUGAAAUCCCGGGGCUCAACCCCGGAACUGCACUGGAUACUGCUUUGCUAGAGUACUGGAGAGGAGAUUGGAAUUUACGGUGUAGCAGUGAAAUGCGUAGAUAUCGUAAGGAAGAUCAGUGGCGAAGGCGAAUCUCUGGACAGUUACUGACACUGAGGCACGAAGGCCAGGGGAGCAAACGGG